AACAGUCCAACCGUAAAGUGGCGGUGCUAAUGCUCAGCAGCUGGCUGCUUUUCUGUGGUUAAAUCAGAGUUUACAAGCUGCCAGCUGGUGUCCGUACGGAGGCUUCGACAGCACGGAGAGGAUGUGAGAAACGUGGGAAGCAGAGGGAGAUCUCCCGGGACUGACAAAACAACUCCCUAACAAAGGAGAUAUUAACCCGAGGAGGAAUCCCAAUCCAGGCCGUUUGAAGCUGACAGUUAAUGAGAGUCUGCAAAAAUCUGUUUACAGCUCAAACUGCAGCCUGGAAUUAAAUAUUGGACUCUGUA